rnacentral:lncRNA from 1 species
GGGCAGUUUUUACAUUGUGAUGUGUGGGUGGAUGGUCAUAUUUAGUUAGGUUAUUAAGAAAUCAUGAAGUGUUCCCUAACAAGAAACUUGCAAAGCUAUUUGGCAGGAAGAAAAUCAUUAACUUCUAGUUUAUUUAUUUUUUUUCUCAUGCUAUACGCUUAAUUACCAAGUAAAUUCACUUGCAUACCAUUACCUUAAUUCAAAGGAGAAGCCAGAAUGUUUAUCAUUGGUGGGAGUAAAAUAUACACAGAUUCUUUACCAUGGUGAAAUAGAAUAAUACUGAAUUCCCAAUACAGAAAUACUAAUUUCAUAAGCUAAUAUUCCUAUCUUUUAGCUGACUUCUUUCUCUCUUCAGGAUAUAUUUACUAUUUAUUAUUUACCUUUGAAUUUUUGAUUUGGGGGAUUUUUACCUAUUGCCAUCCUACUAUCUUAAGUAUCCUGUACAAUGAAAUAUCUUAGCAAGGAAACACUUUUAAAACUUCACAAAUAUCCAAUUUCAUUCUUAACAUAUGGGGGAAGCAGUAAAAGAAAAAGCACUUCACCACGUAGAAGAGAAAGUGAUCAUUUUAAUUAAGAUAAUUUCAAUUCAUUAUCAACAUUUAAUCCUCUGCAAACAAGGGAACACUUACUAGCAGUACUUGAAGACUUGUGAGUUGGAAUUGCAUGUUACUUGAAAGAUCUAAUUAAGCUAAAUUUUGGUGCACAGCAGGUUGUACAUGAUUUCAUGUUUAUGUAGCAAAAUGCAUUGAAAUGUAUUAGUGUUGAAACAUACAUGUAAAGGUAGUUGUGGAAAUUGUUAUAUUUUCCUUGUGUGUCAUUUAUUUAGAGCAUAAAGGUUUUUUUUAUUCAGCCUAACUGAAUAAGGCUAAAUGAAUACUGUAAUUGAAAAUAUAUUUUAAAUCUUUGUCAUGAGUUUUUUUAAAAAAAACUAUUGCAAAUUGUAUCAUUCCUGAUUACACAGAACUUUGUGGGUGGUUUUAAAUAAAUUUUAUACUUCUAUUUUGCA